CCCUUGGGGGUCCAGUGGCUAAGACUCUGUGCUCCCAAUGCAGUGGGCCCAAGUUCAAUCCCUGGUCAGGGAA
rnacentral:tRNA from 1 species